ACGAACGCUGGCGGCGUGCUUAACACAUGCAAGUCGAGCGGUAAGGCCCUUUCGGGGUACACGAGCGGCGAACGGGUGAGUAACACGUGGGUGACCUGCCUUCAGCUCUGGGAUAAGCCUGGGAAACUGGGUCUAAUACCGGAUAUGACCCCAUGAUGCAUGUUGUGGGGUGAAAGCUUUUGCGGCUGGAGAUGGGCCCGCGGCCUAUCAGCUUGUUGGUGGGGUGAUGGCCACCAAGGCGACGACGGGUAGCCGGCCUGAGAGGCGACCGGCCACACUGGGACUGAGACACGGCCCAGACUCCUACGGGAGGCAGCAGUGGGGAAUCUUGCGCAAUGGGCGAAAGCCUGACGCAGCGACGCCGCGUGAGGGAUGACGGCCUCGGUUGUAA
rnacentral:rRNA from 1 species